GUUUUGUUUUAGCUGGUUGUUCUUGUUGUUGUUGGCGAAAAAAACUACGGCUAGACGAAGAAUACAACAAAAAUACACAUUCAACACUAAAAAUGGCAACAACAUACACGUGUUUUUCAUUCAAUUGACUAGUUGUUCUUGUCAAAGGUGGUGGUUACAAACAAACCGUUAUUAAGAGUGAAAAUUUAAGAGAGCAAAUUUUAUUACUAAGAGAGUAAGAGUAUGUUUUUACGGGAUUUUAGUGUUAUAACGUAAAAACCCACAAAUAUCGUAUGGUUUUAUUAUGCCUGCUGUUUAGUUUGAGUUCGUGAAUCUUAACAAUAUGACGACGUAACGGACGGUCGCUGUUUGAUUUUUUCUAAAUAAAGAAUAAUUAAAAAAUUAAAAAAUCAAAAGUGAUUUGUAUAAAAUCGUGGUCGCUUUUAGUGCAAAAUAAAAAUAUUAUAAAAAAAAAAUAGCAAAACAAAAGAAAAAAAAUAACAAAAUACCAAAUGAUAUGGUUAAAUAUAUGAAAUAAAUAAAAAAAAGAAAUAAUCAAAGUUCAUAAAUUAAACAAAAAUUUAGCAAGUGUUCGAUGUGUUCUUUGGCUGAUUUUGCAUAAAUUUUUGCAAUUUUAAGUUGCUUUUACUUAAGAAAUAACGGUACUUUUGCUGUUUUAACACUUAAACGGUUGAUCGUUCGUUAAAGAGUGCAAGAAAAAUUUUGUAAAAAAUUUAAAAAAAAUCUUAAGCGGCUGGUUACCGCCAUAAUAAUACAAAAAUAAAGUGAAUUCUUUUAAAAUAAAAUCAAAAUUUUAAAAAUCAUAUACAUAUAUAAUUCCUUAUAAAGAAAAAAAUAUUCAAAAUUAAAACCCAUAUUUCAACAUAAUCAAGUGCAAAAAAUAUUGUCGAAUAUUAAUAUUUAAACCCAACUAGCUGGUCUAGUCAUAAUAUAAACCAACAAAAACUACAAAACAAGGAGCAAUCUAUAUUAUAUAACUCUUCGGCUACAAGUCUUUAGUUCUUUCAACAAGACUUCUUCUCUCUACUACUUAUCUUCAGCAUUGUUAAUUUACCAGGAUUUGCAAACAAAUCACUUCAUUUAACCAACCAACAACUACCACAAACAACAUCAACCAACUAAAAAAAUCCAGCAACCAACCGACCAACUCUUAACAAGGAUAUAACAAACUAAAAAAAAGAAUAAAUCAAGACACAAAGAGAAAAAAACAAGUCCUUGCACGUUGUGCAUUUCAACUCUGACGUAAAUACAACAA